rfam:Paraglaciecola sp. S66 Contig10, whole genome shotgun sequence.
CUCGACUCCAACUUUCCCAAUUUUGUCAGUGCCUUGUCAAAUGUCCUCACAGGACGUGAGGGCAAGGCGUGGUGAGGGCAGGGAUGCGCUCUCCACGCCGGUUUGAAAACAUGGUGCUGAUAAAAUUGGAUCAGUAAGUUGGUUG